rnacentral:tmRNA from 2 species
GGGGGCGAAAUAGGAUCGACGAGGGCGUAAAGGCUUUGCUUUUGCUCGGCAUGGUACCACCGUUAUCGGACCAAAAUGAUAGUUGCAAAUGACAACUACGCUAUGGACAACGCUGUAGCUGCGUAAUGCGGUUCCGGUAGUCCACUAAGUCCUGUUGGUUAGCACCUUCAGGCGGGGUUCGGGGGCACCUGGCAACAGAAGCCUCCACU